AGGGGUAUCGCCAAGCGGUAAGGCAAAGGACUUUGACUCCUUCACUCGCAAGUUCAAAUCUUGCUACCCCUGCCA
rnacentral:tRNA from 1 species